AGCAGAACGUUGUGCUGAAGGCCUUGCCCACUAUCAUGUGCAAAGAUACAUCAUUGCCAUAGAUCCCUUUGUGUAUUUCCUCCAAUAUGUCCUUGCCAUCCUCUCGUGUAACACACUUCAUGAGCACUCCUGAAUAUGCGUCUCUUCUAUAUAGCUUGUCUCCGAUGCGUACGUAGCUUUUGCUUCGUUGUAAGACUUGUUCUGCUUGCGUUUUGUCC
rnacentral:lncRNA from 1 species